rnacentral:lncRNA from 1 species
GAAAUUAUCUUGUUGCAAAAUUGUAGGAUUGUAAGAUUACAUAUAAUCACAUAGCCAUCUCCUUCUGGACAAUCAAAUUACUUUUUUUUGAAGUAAUGCUGCAUUAUAUAUAAUGGUGCAUUACUUGUGAAAGUAACAAAAUAAACUAUGUAAUCUGAUUACUUAUUGCAAAAUUACCUAUUAGAAUUACAUGCUACCAAACGUCCCCCUAAGGGUAAGGAUCCUCUGCUAUGCACGCGAUA